rnacentral:sRNA from 1 species
AAGCUAUGAUAUUCCAAAGGGCUUAACUAGAUUAGACUCUUCUUUAUUUUUUCCCAAAUAAUGGAAAAAUAUUUCUUUUGUUUAGACAUAGAUGCCCUUGUAGGAGGAGAAGUUGGAGGCUUGGAGUUUGGCAAGUUACCAUUUGGUGCCUGCGAAGAUCCUAUUAGUGAACUCCAUUUAGCUACUACAUGGCCUCAUCUGACCGAAGGGAUCAUUGUGGAUAAUGAUGUUUAUUCUGAUUUGGAUCCUAUUCAAGCUCCACAUUGGUCUGUUAGAGUUCGAAAAGCUGAGAAUCCUCAGUGUUUGCUAGGUGAUUUUGUUACUGAAUUUUUUAAAAUUUGCCGUCGAAAGGAGUCAACUGAUGAGAUUCUUGGACGAUCUGCAUUUGAGGAAGAAGGCAAAGAAACUGCUGAUAUAACUCAUGCUUUGUCAAAAUUGACAGAGCCGGCAUCAGUUCCAAUUCAUAAAUUAUCAGUUUCAAAUAUGGUACACACUGCAAAGAAGAAAAUCCGAAAACACAGAGGUGUAGAGGAGUCACCGCUAAAUAAUGAUGUUCU